rnacentral:rRNA from 1 species
UACGUAGGGUGCAAGCGUUGUCCGGAAUUAUUGGGCGUAAAGCGCGUGUAGGCGGCUUUGCAAGUCGGGUGUGAAAGCCCUCAGCUCAACUGAGGAAGUGCGCCCGAAACUGCAGAGCUUGAGUACCGGAGAGGAUGGCGGAAUUCCCCAAGUAGAGGUGAAAUUCGUAGAUAUGGGGAGGAACACCGGUGGCGAAGGCGGCCAUCUGGACGGAUACUGACGCUGAGACGCGAAAGCGUGGGUAGCAAACAGG